CAAGGGGACUGACGUUACGGGUAUAAGAAGCCCGGACUAACUACGUGCCAGCAGCCGCGGUAAGACGUGGGGGGCCAGCGUUGUUCGGAAUUACUGGGUGUAAAGGGUUCGUAGGCGGUGUAGCAAGUUGGGAGUGAAAUCUCUGGGCUCAACCCAGAGGCUGCUUCCAAAACUGCUGUGCUUGAGUGUGGGAGAGGCGCGUGGAAUUGCAGGUGUAGCGGUGAAAUGCGUAGAUAUCUGCAGGAACACCCGUGGCGAAAGCGGCGCGCUGGACCACUACUGACGCUGAGGAACGAAAGCUAGGGGAGCAAACAGGAUUAGAUACCCUGGUAGUCCUAGCCCUAAACGAUCAGGACUUGGGGUGCCACCCGUUCGGGUGUCGUCCCGGAGCUAACGCGUUAAGUCCUGCACCUGGGGAGUACGGUCGCAAGACUGAAACUCAAAGGAAUUGACG
rnacentral:rRNA from 1 species